rnacentral:sRNA from 1 species
CUUGGUCAUUUAGAGGAAGUAAAAGUCGUAACAAGGUCUCCGUAGGUGAACCUGCGGAGGGAUCAUUACAAGAACGCCCGGGCUUCGGCCUGGUUAUUCAUAACCCUUUGUUGUCCGACUCUGUUGCCUCCGGGGCGACCCUGCCUUCGGGCGGGGGCUCCGGGUGGACACUUCAAACUCUUGCGUAACUUUGCAGUCUGAGUAAACUUAAUUAAUAAAUUAAAACUUUUAACAACGGAUCUCUUGGUUCUGGCAUCGAUGAAGAACGCAGCGAAAUGCGAUAAGUAAUGUGAAUUGCAGAAUUCAGUGAAUCAUCGAAUCUUUGAACGCACAUUGCGCCCCCUGGUAUUCCGGGGGGCAUGCCUGUUCGAGCGUCAUUUCACCACUCAAGCCUCGCUUGGUAUUGGGCAACGCGGUCCGCCGCGUGCCUCAAAUCGUCCGGCUGGGUCUUCUGUCCCCUAAGCGUUGUGGAAACUAUUCGCUAAAGGGUGUUCGGGAGGCUACGCCGUAAAACAACCCCAUUUCUAAGGUUGACCUCGGAUCAGGUAGGGAUACCCGCUGAACUUAAGCAUAUCAAUAAGCGGAGGAAAAGAAACCAACAGGGAUUGCUCUAGUAACGGCGGGUGAAGCAGCAAUAGCUCAAAUUUGAAAUCUGGCGUCUUCGACGUCCGAGUUGUAAUUUGUAGAGGAUGCUUCUGAGUGGCCACCGACCUAAGUUCCUUGGAACAGGACGUCAUAGAGGGUGAGAAUCCCGUAUGCGGUCGGAAAGGCGCUCUAUACGUAGCUCCUUCGACGAGUCGAGUUGUUUGGGAAU